AUUGAACGCUGGCGGCGUGCUUAACACAUGCAAGUCGAGCGGAGCGGCGAACGGGUGAGUAACGCGUGAGUAACUGCCCCCCUCUCUGGGAAAACAGUUGGAAACGGCUGCUAAUUACGGAUAGUGGGGGAUGACUCGCGUCCUAUCAGCUUGUUGGUGGGGUAGUUGCCUAACAAGGCGACGACGGGUAGCCGGCCUGCGAGGGCGACCGGCCACAUUGGGCUGAGAUACGGCCCAAACUCCUACGGGAGGCAGCAGUGGUGAAUAUUGCACAAUGGGGGGAACCCUGAUGCAGCAUCGCCGCGUGCGGGAUGACGGCCUUCGGGUUGUAAACCGCUUGCAUCCAUGACGCGGUAGUGGCAGAAGAAGCACCGGCUAACGACGUGCCAGCAGCCGCGGUAAUUC
rnacentral:rRNA from 1 species